rnacentral:rRNA from 1 species
UACGUAGGUGGCAAGCGUUGUCCGGAUUUACUGGGCGUAAAGAGCGCGCAGGCGGUCGUUCAAGUCGCGUGUGAAAGCUCCCGGCUCAACUGGGGAGGGUCACGCGAUACUGAUCGACUCGAAGGCAGGAGAGGGUAGUGGAAUUCCCGGUGUAGUGGUGAAAUGCGUAGAUAUCGGGAGGAACACCAGUGGCGAAAGCGGCUUCCUGGUCCAGCACCGACGUUCAGGCACGAAAGCGUGGGGAGCAAACAGG